UACAGAGACUGCAAGCGUUAUUCGGAUUCACUGGGCGUAAAGGGUGCGCAGGCGGCCGGGUGUGUCAGAUGUGAAAUCCCGAGGCUUAACCUCGGAACUGCGUCUGAAACUACUCGGCUAGAGUAUUGGAGAGGGUAACGGAAUUCACGGUGUAGCAGUGAAAUGCGUAGAUAUCAGGAGGAACACCGAUGGCGAAGGCAGGUCUCUGGGCUGACACUGACGCUCAUGCACGAAAGCGUGGGGAGCAAACAGG
rnacentral:rRNA from 1 species